rnacentral:tRNA from 1 species
GCAUGCUUAGCUCAGUGGUUAGAGCAUCCGCCUAGUGUUUGGAGGUUGCAGGUUACGUUGCACGUUCAAAUCCUGCAGUGUGUA